rnacentral:rRNA from 1 species
CGCCAACCAACUAGCCCGCCCAAACAAAACCAACAACCAAACAUUUAUAAACCCUAAGCACACGCGCCCCCCCCAGAAACAAAUCAUUUUACCCCCCUAGUACGG